AAUAUAGGUCAUAUUCCAUGGUUUUUAAAAUCUAUAGUAUUGACCAUCUUUACAAUCCUAACUGCCUCCUAAAAUGUUUGUGGAUUUUUUAAUUCCACCUCUUGCUCGACUAUAGGUUUCAACUCUCAAAUAAAUCAAUCUAUCAUCUUUGCCUUUGAAAUAUUGUUAAUUUAAAGAUAUAGGAACUUGAAUUCGGAGAGAUAAUCUUACAAU
rnacentral:lncRNA from 1 species